rnacentral:rRNA from 1 species
ACAGCAGCAGCCGCGGUAAUACGUAGGGUGCGAGCGUUAAUCGGAAUUACUGGGCGUAAAGCGUGCGUAGGUGGUGGUUUAAGUCCGUUGUGAAAGCCCUGGGCUCAACCUGGGAAUUGCAGUGGAUACUGGAUCACUAGAGUGUGGUAGAGGAUAGUGGAAUUUCCGGUGUAGCAGUGAAAUGCGUAGAGAUCGGAAGGAACAUCUGUGGCGAAGGCGACUAUCUGGGCCAACACUGACACUGAGGCACGAAAGCGUGGGGAGCAAACAGGAUUAGAUACCCCCGUAGUCCCUGUCUCUUAUAA